rnacentral:rRNA from 1 species
AACACAUGCAAGUCGAGGGGUAACAGGGUAGCAAUACCGCUGACGACCGGCGCACGGGUGAGUAACGCGUAUGCAACCUGCCUAUAACUGGGGAAUAGCUCCCUAGGAAAGGGAAUUAACACCGCAUAACACUAUUGAUUCGCAUGGAUUGGUAGUUAAAUGUAGCGAUACAGGUUAUAGAUGGGCAUGCGUGACAUUAGCUAGUUGGUGAGGUAACGGCUCACCAAGGCUACGAUGUCUAGGGGUUCUGAGAGGAAGGUCCCCCACACUGGUACUGAGACACGGACCAGACUCCUACGGGAGGCAGCAGUGAGGAAUAUUGGUCAAUGGGCGCAAGCCUGAACCAGCCAUGUCGCGUGCAGGAAGACUGCCCUAUUGGGUUGUAAACUGCUUUUAUAGUAGAAGAAACACAUCUACGUGUAGAUGUCUGCCAGUAUACUAUGAAUAGGCAUCGGCUAACUCCGUGCCAGCAGCUGC